UUAAGUUGCAGGGUAUAGACCCGAAACCCGGUGAUCUAGCCAUGGGCAGGUUGAAGGUUGGGUAACACUAACUGGAGGACCGAACCGACUAAUGUUGAAAAAUUAGCGGAUGACUUGUGGCUGGGGGUGAAAGGCCAAUCAAACCGGGAGAUAGCUGGUUCUCCCCGAAAGCUAUUUAGGUAGCGCCUCGUGAAUUCAUCUCCGGGGGUAGAGCACUGUUUCGGCAAGGGGGUCAUCCCGACUUACCAACCCGAUGCAAACUGCGAAUACCGGAGAAUGUUAUCACGGGAGACACACGGCGGGUGCUAACGUCCGUCGUGAAGAGGGAAACAACCCAGACCGCCAGCUAAGGUCCCAAAGUCAUGGUUAAGUGGGAAACGAUGUGGGAAGGCCCAGACAGCCAGGAUGUUGGCUUAGAAGCAGCCAUCAUUUAAAGAAAGCGUAAUAGCUCACUGGUCGAGUCGGCCUGCGCGGAAGAUGUAACGGGGCUAAACCAUGCACCGAAGCUGCGGCAGCGACGCUUAUGCGUUGUUGGGUAGGGGAGCGUUCUGUAAGCCUGUGAAGGUGUGCUGUGAGGCAUGCUGGAGGUAUCAGAAGUGCGAAUGCUGACAUAAGUAACGAUAAAGCGGGUGAAAAGCCCGCUCGCCGGAAGACCAAGGGUUCCUGUCCAACGUUAAUCGGGGCAGGGUGAGUCGACCCCUAAGGCGAGGCCGAAAGGCGUAGUCGAUGGGAAACAGGUUAAUAUUCCUGUACUUGGUGUUACUGCGAAGGGGGGACGGAGAAGGCUAUGUUGGCCGGGCGACGGUUGUCCCGGUUUAAGCGUGUAGGCUGGUUUUCCAGGCAAAUCCGGAAAAUCAAGGCUGAGGCGUGAUGACGAGGCACUACGGUGCUGAAGCAACAAAUGCCCUGCUUCCAGGAAAAGCCUCUAAGCAUCAGGUAACAUCAAAUCGUACCCCAAACCGACACAGGUGGUCAGGUAGAGAAUACCAAGGCGCUUGAGAGAACUCGGGUGAAGGAACUAGGCAAAAUGGUGCCGUAACUUCGGGAGAAGGCACGCUGAUAUGUAGGUGAAGUCCCUCGCGGAUGGAGCUGAAAUCAGUCGAAGAUACCAGCUGGCUGCAACUGUUUAUUAAAAACACAGCACUGUGCAAACACGAAAGUGGACGUAUACGGUGUGACGCCUGCCCGGUGCCGGAAGGUUAAUUGAUGGGGUCAGCGCAAGCGAAGCUCUUGAUCGAAGCCCCGGUAAACGGCGGCCGUAACUAUAACGGUCCUAAGGUAGCGAAAUUCCUUGUCGGGUAAGUUCCGACCUGCACGAAUGGCGUAAUGAUGGCCAGGCUGUCUCCACCCGAGACUCAGUGAAAUUGAACUCGCUGUGAAGAUGCAGUGUACCCGCGGCAAGACGGAAAGACCCCGUGAACCUUUACUAUAGCUUGACACUGAACAUUGAGCCUUGAUGUGUAGGAUAGGUGGGAGGCUUAGAAGUGUGGACGCCAGUCUGCAUGGAGCCGACCUUGAAAUACCACCCUUUAAUGUUUGAUGUUCUAACGUUGACCCGUAAUCCGGGUUGCGGACAGUGUCUGGUGGGUAGUUUGACUGGGGCGGUCUCCUCCUAAAGAGUAACGGAGGAGCACGAAGGUUGGCUAAUCCUGGUCGGACAUCAGGAGGUUAGUGCAAUGGCAUAAGCCAGCUUGACUGCGAGCGUGACGGCGCGAGCAGGUGCGAAAGCAGGUCAUAGUGAUCCGGUGGUUCUGAAUGGAAGGGCCAUCGCUCAACGGAUAAAAGGUACUCCGGGGAUAACAGGCUGAUACCGCCCAAGAGUUCAUAUCGACGGCGGUGUUUGGCACCUCGAUGUCGGCUCAUCACAUCCUGGGGCUGAAGUAGGUCCCAAGGGUAUGGCUGUUCGCCAUUUAAAGUGGUACGCGAGCUGGGUUUAGAACGUCGUGAGACAGUUCGGUCCCUAUCUGCCGUGGGCGCUGGAGAACUGAGGGGGGCUGCUCCUAGUACGAGAGGACCGGAGUGGACGCAUCACUGGUGUUCGGGUUGUCAUGCCAAUGGCACUGCCCGGUAGCUAAAUGCGGAAGAGAUAAGUGCUGAAAGCAUCUAAGCACGAAACUUGCCCCGAGAUGAGUUCUCCCUGACUCCUUGAGAGUCCUG
rnacentral:rRNA from 1 species